GGGGUCGACCAGGUAUCGAUUAGAGCAGUAAGGUUUAGUUGCAUGUAGGCUUGAACAACCUUUAAUAAGUUCGCAAAUUUUUAAACGCAAAUAAUACAAAUUAUUCUCCUGCUGUAGCUCACGCUGCAUAGAUAGAAGACUCCCCUUAAUUGGGUAGAGACUUCGGAGGUUUCUACUAUAUUGAUUCUAUCUAAAUAUAGAACAUUAGAGACUCAACCCCUAGAUAGAUUAUUUAUCUGGAACUGAUUUGUACAGAUAAAGACAAUUUAAAAUCUUAGCUUUAGUUUAGCCUUGGAGGCGUGAGCUAAACAAAAGUGAAAUUUGAUCAACCUUAUCUAAGCAUGUAGACGCUAAACUGAGUUGUUUUAAGACUGGAGUUCGAUUCUCCACGGCUCCACCA
rnacentral:tmRNA from 1 species